GUGGAUUAUGAACAAGAAGCACCUGGCAAGGUCUGUCCAUGUAGGUUUACGGGCCUGUGGCCAGGAGUGUGGGUCCGAUGUCCAGCUCCCAUGGAAGGUAUUGAAGAUGGCAAUGGGGUUGCACUUCAUCUAAGCUCCGAGUUUUUUAUCUUUCUCUUGGACAUCACUGGAAUGCAGAGCGAGGAACUCAGAACUUAUUAGCCUUGCCAACACCUGCCACUCUUUGCUGUUUCCUUUCAUAGAUAUCCUGACUUCUCAAUGCGUGGAAAAUGUAGU
rnacentral:lncRNA from 1 species